CCUACGGGUGGCAGCAGUAAGGAAUAUUGGUCAAUGGAGGCAACUCUGAACCAGCCAUGCCGCGUGCAGGAAGACGGCCCUAUGGGUUGUAAACUGCUUUUGUACCAGAGAAAACCCCGGUACGUGUACCGGGUUGAUAGUAUGGUAAGAAUAAGCAUCGGCUAACUUCGUGCCAGCAGCCGCGGUAAGACGAAGGAUGCAAGCGUUAUCCGGAUUCAUUGGGUUUAAAGGGUGCGUAGGCGGACUUGUAAGUCAGUGGUGAAAUCUCUCAGCUUAACUGAGAAACUGCCAUUGAUACUGCAGGUCUAGAGUACAGAUGAUGUGGGCGGAAUAUGACAUGUAGUGGUGAAAUACUUAGAUAUGUCAUAGAACACCGAUUGCGAAGGCAGCUCACAAAACUGUAACUGACGCUGAGGCACGAAAGUGCGGGGAUCAAACAGGAUUAGAUACCCUAGUAGUC
rnacentral:rRNA from 1 species